rnacentral:rRNA from 1 species
UACAGAGGGUGCGAGCGUUAAUCGGAAUUACUGGGCGUAAAGCGCACGUAGGCGGCUUGUUAUGUCGGGUGUGAAAUCCCCGGGCUCAACCUGGGAACUGCAUCCGAAACUGCCUUGCUAGAGUAUGGGAGAGGGAAGUGGAAUUUCCGGUGUAGCGGUGAAAUGCGUAGAUAUCGGAAGGAACAUCAGUGGCGAAGGCGACUUCCUGGACCAAUACUGACGCUCAGGUGCGAAAGCGUGGGGAGCAAACAGG